ACGUCAAUGUAAUAAAAUAACUAUAAUCAAUCAAAAUUAUAUUUAUUGUUUUUUGGGCGUAAAACUAACCAAACAUGACGAUGUAUGUUUAUGUAAAUAUACGAGUAUAACACUAUUAUGAUUUUUGGCAUACUAAAACCAAAAGUAUGCAAUGUGAAUUGUAUUUACGACCAUAGAAGACUUUGCGUCUUAAAACUAUUACGAGUAUGUGCCCUCGAUUCCGACCUCAAAAUUAUCAAAUCAGUUUUAUUUGUCAAACGAUUGGGACAAAAUAAACAACGUUCCUUGAAGUUACAAGUAUGUAGUUCGUCUAUACUCUUGAAUACCCUUAACAUCAAGGAGGCAUGACAUUGUGAAAUGCUGACAACACCAGUCAAAAAAAAAUCAAUGUAAGCAACGAUACAUUUCUUCAACGUGAAUAAAAAGUAUUUGUUGUGUCUGUUCAUUUUACAUAUUUUAUAAUGAUCCAUAAUAGUAUUUAUUAUUGGUGUACUUUUUUAAGGUCAAGGAACAAUAAAAUGUAGACGUUAAUUAUCGA